GUGCUUGCUUCGGCAGCACAUAUAGUAAAAUUGGAACGAUACAGAGAAGAUUAGCAUGGCCCCUGCACAAGGAUGACACAGAAAAAAAAUUACACCGUUCUU
ensembl:snRNA U6 U6 spliceosomal RNA